CGUAUUGAAAUUUUAUUCUGAAAAGUGGAGAGAAAUUCUUCAAUAUAUUUUAUAUACGAUUUGUUGGGAAGCUCUCCACUGAAGUUCUCUCCUGUAAAGUGGAAAGAUAUAUUUCAAUAUAAUUUACACUAGUGUAGAAAUUGCAACGGAUAGAAAUUGUAGUAGUAAUUAAUAAUAAGAAAAUAUUAAACAUUCUCUUGUGUAUCUCACUUGAUAUAUCCACCAAACGUCAUGGCGGAAAGGGGAAGUGGGCACACAUUAGUGAGAGAGAGGAAGAGAGCGAGGGAAGGAGGCGAUGGUGUAUAGCAAAAGAUGAGAGAUAAAGAAUUGAUGAAUAGAUUGGAGAUAAAAAAUUAAAAGUCUGGUGGAGGGAAGGAAAAUAACCAUAAUGAAUAAUUGGAGAUAGAGAGGUUAGAAUUGUAAAAUAGUAGUGAGAUCAUUUAAGCAUACUAAUUGAAAGUUUGGUAGUGGAAUCGUUUGCAUUAAUUGAAAGUAUAGUGGAGGAAAUGGAAAGGGUUAUAAUGAAUAAUUGUAGAUAGAAUGGUAGAUGAUAGUGGGACCAUUUAAAUAUAUUAAUUGAAAGUUUUGUUAGUGGAACAAUUUAAAUACAUUAAUUGAAGGUUUUGUUAGUGGAACCGUUAAAAUAUACAUUGAAAGUUUAGUAAGGGGAAGAAGAAGAGUCACAUGCUACUGAGGGUGAAAGAAAACCUGCCAUGUGGCAACAAACAUUGGGAAUUCAUGUAAGUUAAUAGAUAAUAAAUAAUAUGGGUGGUUGUAGAUGCAUGUUGGUGGAUGUUGUUACAUGUUCACAUGUAAAUUUAUCGACGCUUUGUAGAAGGGAAAAAAAAAUAUAAAUGUAUAAAUAUACUUCACGAAUGGAGGUUAUAAACCAACCAAACAAGUUGAGAAUAAUAUAAGGCUUCGAUACGAAGUAGGAUGAUGCCACAAGCUGGUUUUUGAUACGGUUCUACCGUAUCGAGAAGAAUAAACGAU
rnacentral:lncRNA from 1 species